rnacentral:tRNA from 1 species
AAAGGUAUAGCUCAGUGGUAGAGUACAUGCUUAGCACGCACAAGAUCCUGGGUUCAAUCCCCAGUAUCUCCA